rnacentral:rRNA from 1 species
CAAUAGCGUAUAUUAAAGUUGUUGCAGUUAAAAAGCUCGUAGUUGGACCUUGGACCUGGACAGGCGGUCCGCCUCACGGCGUGUACUGUCUUGCUGGGUCUUUCCUCUUGGUGAUCUGUUGUUUCGGCAGCAGGGAACCAGGACUUUUACUUUGAAAAAAUUAGAGUGUUCAAAGCAGGCUCGACGCCGGAAUAUAUUAGCAUGGAAUAAUAAAAUAGGACGUGCGGUUCUAUUUUGUUGGUUUCUAGGACCGCCGUAAUGAUUAAUAGGGACAGUUGGGGACAUUAGUAUUGAGUUGUCAGAGGUGAAAUUCUUGGAUUUACUCAAGACUAACUACUGCGAAAGCAUUUGUCAAGGAUGUUUUCAUUAG